AGAGAUAAUAAAUCAGAAGGUUUAGCCGUAUCAAAGGAUGGGAAAGUGAACAGAGGAGUGGAAACAGGGUCAAAGGUUGGGAAAGCGAACAGAGGAGUGGAAACAGGGUCAAAGGCUGGGAAAGCGAACAGGGGGGCAGAAACGGGGUCAAAGGCUGGGAAAGCGAACAGGGGGGCAGAAACGGGGUCAAAGGCUGGGAAAGCGAACAGGGGGGCAGAAACGGGGUCAAAGGCUGGGAAAGCGAACAGGGGGGCAGAAACAGGGUCUAUUUUCUCCCCUUCCUUCACUCCCUUCGCUUUCCAACAGCAACCAUGGGUCAAUAAAGAACCAUUAUAUGAGUCAUUUUGGAGAAAUCAGUCAUCGGUAAAGGUCUGGGCCCAGUGUUCCCCAUUAGGUGUUAUUACAGGGGCCCUGCAUGACCUUAGUCUUAGGGUGAUGGCCUGGCACUAGACGUUGUUGGUGGAAGACCGAAAUAAUUUUAGGUCACAUGGUGCACCAUGUGUGACUACAGUAUAGAAACAAGAGGAGGUUGAGCCCAGACACUGGUUUAAGGUCAUUUUAGGACUGCUGUUGGCAAUGGCAAAACCUACUCUCCUAUCAAGUAUAACAAAACACACAUCUGUACAGCAUACCAGAUAACAUGACUUUGCACAAUUAUGGUCGCUAUGGUUCAUCUGUUUGAGUUACAGUACACCAUUCUGGUGAACAGUAGAGCUGUGGCCACAGUCCAUUACAUUUUCAGUACCUUUUCAUAGACUCCUGAAUGGGGAUAUGUUGAUCACGGCUGGCUUUCACUGUUUAACUGGCAACACCGAUCAUGACCUACUCUAAGGGUACUUUGUCAUGAGAUGUUCUGACCCUACAUCGGGUGACAACUGAAGGGGUCACGGUUCACUAUGUUCAAAAUAACACUCAUUCUCCUCAACAAACCUUCCUGUGGGUUGGGCAACAGUUAUACUCUACGGGUAUGAAAUGCCUUUAAAAAGUAGCCAUGUGAAGCAUUAGCUGAUCUCCUUCAAAUGUAUGGGGCCCUGCCCUCGAAGACAUUAUUCAUCUUGCUAAAAGCCAGACUGUAAACCACUUACCAUUGACACAUGUAAUAGUAGAGUACUAACGUGUGGCAUUAAAGCAAUGUUGAAUGGGAUGGAGUGCAUAAUGAGGCUGGUUGUGUUCUCGAAUAAACUGGGCACAGAAAACUGUCUGUUGUCCUGUCGUUUCUUGCCUCUCUCUCUCUCUCACACCUUGGAACCCCACGGUUAGCAUGCAACGCAUAUUAUCACCUUUAGGAACUAUACAGUUAGCCUGCUAGCAUAUUAAAACCUUGGAACCUUACAGUUAGCAUGCUAGCAUAUUAACACCUUGGUCAAUGUGUGAGUUCCCCAUCUGAUGCUGAGAAUCUCACUCUGGUGGUGCCGGAGAGAAGAAUAUCUUGAACUAAUUUAAGAGGACAUGCAUGACCUCCAUACGGAUAGGCAUGACUGUCUCUAAGUCUCUAGGAAGAGGCUUAGACUUAAAUCUCUAACUAUGUGUGGCCACGGUGUCAACUUGUGACAGCAGCAGGUAGGUAUUUGGGAGAUGUCCCUCGUCAAAAUGUACCUGUAAACCAAUCCCAGUGUAUCGGGCUUAUAACUCUAAAGUGCUGAGACAUGUCUUUUUUGUUAUCUCCUUCCCGAUCAGAACAAGCUUAUGUUUCAGAUGAUUUACAUAACGUUGAAAAGUAGAAUUAUGUUCUGUGGAGACAAUAAAAUGAUGAACGGAUUGUUUUUUUCUUCCUGAGCACAAUUCAAACGCACCCACACACACACACACUGUCCCAAAACAUAUAUGAUUAGCUAUCAAAUACAGUGCAUGAUUAGCUAUCAAAUACAGUGCACUCACACAGAACCUGUACUUAUGCUUGUCAUCAAAUAGCACCUUGUAUCACAGCACCUUGUAAAGUUGUACACUGGAAGAGGGGAAGAACACGGCGGGAUGGGAGGAACACGCUACAGGAAUGUAAACAGUGGUCCAGAACAAGACAUGGUGUUCCUGUUUUAAAGAUACAGUGGGAUGGUCUAUGAUUAACACUGGUUCUCCUGAUUGCAGUGUGUGUGUGUGUGUGUGUGUGUGUGUGUGUGUGUGUGUGUGUGUGUGUGUGUGUGUGUGUGUGUGUGUGUGUGUGUGUGUGUGUGUGUGUUCACGCGUGCGAGUUUGCAUGUAUCCUACUCAGGUGUUAGUAUGACUGCAAAUGUAAACAAACCUGUCUAAAAUCAUAUAAUAUGUGAACAAUGGGCUGGGUGUCUAGAAGAGAGAGGGAGCAAUACAAC
rnacentral:lncRNA from 13 species